CCUACGGGAGGCAGCAGUAGGGAAUCUUUCACAAUGGGCGAAAGCCUGAUGGAGCAACGCCGCGUGCAGGAUGAAGGCCUUCGGGUUGUAAACUGUUUUUAUAAGCGAGAAAUAUGAUGGUAACUUAUGAAUAAGGAUCGGCUAACUACGGGCCAGCAGCCGCGGUCAUACGUAGGAUCCGAGCAUUAUCCGGAGUGACUGGGUGUAAAGAGUUGCGUAGGUGGCAUAAUAAGUAGCUAGUGAAAUCUGGUGGCUCAACCAUUCAGACUAUUAGCUAAACUGUUAAGCUCGAGACCGUUAGGGGUAACUGGAAUUUCUAGUGUAGGAGUGAAAUCCUUAGAUAUUAGAAGGAACACCAAUAGCGUAGGCAGGUUGCUGGGACGGUUCUGACACUAAGGCACGAAAGCGUAGGGAGCAAACGGGAUUAGAUACCCCAGUAGUC
rnacentral:rRNA from 1 species